rnacentral:rRNA from 1 species
UCCNGCCAUGCCGCGUGUAGGAAGACUGCCCUAUGGGUUGUAAACUACUUUUAUAUGGGAAGAAUAAGGUCUACGUGUAGAUCGAUGACGGUACCAUAAGAAUAAGCACCGGCUAACUCCGUGCCAGCAGCCGCGGUAAUACGGAGGGUGCAAGCGUUAUCCGGAAUCAUUGGGUUUAAAGGGUCCGUAGGCGGGCAUAUAAGUCAGUGGUGAAAGUCUGUGGCUCAACCAUAGAAUUGCCAUUGAUACUGUAUGUCUUGAAUUAUUGUGAAGUGGUUAGAAUAUGUAGUGUAGCGGUGAAAUGCUUAGAGAUUACAUAGAAUACCGAUUGCGAAGGCAGAUCACUAACAAUAUAUUGACGCUGAUGGACGAAAGCGUAGGUAGCGAACAGGAUUAGAUACCCNG